rnacentral:lncRNA from 10 species
GUUUACAGCCCACUAAUCUUUGCUUGUCUCAGUAAAAGAAAGGCUUGCACUAUUCCAUCUGUAACUCCCUGAUUAGAUAAAUCCAAGGCUGAAAAACAUACCAGAGAAAUGUUCUGAAGGCUGAGAAAGACUGAGGAAUAACUCAAGCACUUCAAAUCAGAGGCAUGAGAAGCUCAAGUGAUCCUCCCCCCUUUAGCCUCCAAAAGUGCUGGGAUUACAGGCGUGAGCCACACCACACCCAGUCUAUCCUGACAUUUAAAAACAAGGCAAAACAGAAAUUCCAUUUUGAUGAUUAAAAGGAGGAAGAAAAUUAACUUCAUGGUCCUGACCCACGUUCAACUUGAUAAGAGAGGAGAGAGCACUGUGUGAAGGCAAGAGCUGGUAAGCUCAGACAACAGAAAGACCGGGACUAACUCCUGCUCAUCACUUCACUACACGGCCUUGGCCAUGCUGCUGAUCUUCACAGCAUCAGGUUCCUCAUGGGUGAUUUGGGAAUAGCAACUGGACCAAGC